rnacentral:rRNA from 1 species
GAGCGAGCUACCCUGUAGCUACCCUGGAGCGGGCUACCCUGUAACGUUUUGCCGGUGGACCAUUAAACUCUUGUUAUUAUAUUGUAAUCUGAGCGUCUUAUUUUAAUAAGUCAAAACUUUCAACAACGGAUCUCUUGGUUCUGGCAUCGAUGAAGAACGCAGCGAAAUGCGAUAAGUAAUGUGAAUUGCAGAAUUCAGUGAAUCAUCGAAUCUUUGAACGCACAUUGCGCCCAUUAGUAUUCUAGUGGGCAUGCCUGUUCGAGCGUCAUUUCAACCCUUAAGCCUAGCUUAGUAUUGGGAGCUUACAGUUAUGUAACUCCUCAAAUUCAACGGCGGAUCUGUGGUAUCCUCUGAGCGUAGUAAUUUUUAUCUCGCUUUUGUUAGGUGCUGCAGCUCCCAGCCGCUAAACCCCCCAAUUUUUAAUGGUUGACCUCGGAUCAGGUAGGAAUACCCGCUGAA